rnacentral:rRNA from 1 species
AGUGAACGCUGGCGGUAGGCCUAACACAUGCAAGUCGAACGGCAGCACAGUAAGAGCUUGCUCUUACGGGUGGCGAGUGGCGGACGGGUGAGGAAUACAUCGGAAUCUACUUUUUCGUGGGGGAUAACGUAGGGAAACUUACGCUAAUACCGCAUACGACCUACGGGUGAAAGCAGGGGAUCUUCGGACCUUGCGCGAUUGAAUGAGCCGAUGUCGGAUUAGCUAGUUGGCGGGGUAAAGGCCCACCAAGGCGACGGUCCGUAGCUGGUCUGAGAGGAUGAUCAGCCACACUGGAACUGAGACACGGUCCAGACUCCUACGGGAGGCAGCAGUGGGGAAUAUUGGACAAUGGGCGCAAGCCUGAUCCGGCCAUACCGCGUGGGUGAAGAAGGCCUUCGGGUUGUAAAGCCCUUUUGUUGGGAAAGAAAAGCAGCAGGUUAAUACCCCGCUGUUCUGACGGUACCCAAAGAAUAAGCACCGGCUAACUUCGUG